UUGGAUUAUAAUCCAAAAGUUAAAGAAAAUCAUGUCGAACUGAACAACAAGAAUCCCCAAACAACUCCAAAGAAACCUACAAGGAAGACACCGAAAGCAAGUAGUUUUAGUUUUGGAGAAGCCUCGUAUCAAGAUAUGCAUAGCUUUCGGGCUCUGGAAAAUAAGCGGCUUCAAAUAGAACACAAACAUAGAGUUAAGAAUAUGGCAAAGAUGUACAAUCAAGCAAUGAUUAAUUUAAAAUUACAGACCGAAAUACAUACAAUAAAAAUGAUUUAAAGAUAAA